rnacentral:rRNA from 1 species
CGAAACUGCGAAUGGCUCAUUAAAACAGUUAUCGUUUCUUUGAUAAUCACUUACUACAUGGAUACCUGUAGUAAUUCUAGAGCUAAUACAUGCGUCAAGACCCGACUUUACGGAAGGGUUGCAUUUAUUAGAUACAAAGCCGACCCAGAGCUCGCUCUGGAACCGUUGGUGAUUCAUAAUAACUAAGCGAAUCGCACAGGCUUGCCUGGCGAUGGAUCUUUCAAGUUUCUGACCUAUCAGCUAUCGACGGUAGGGUAUUGGCCUACCGUGGCUAUGACGGGUAACGGAGAAUUAGGGUUCGAUUCCGGAGAGGGAGCCUGAGAAACGGCUACCACAUCUAAGGAUGGCAGCAGGCGCGCAAAUUACCCAAUCCUGACACAGGGAGGUAGUGACAAGAAAUAACA